rnacentral:rRNA from 1 species
CCAAAAAUGGCCACACCUUUAAAGACCAUUAAUUGCGGUAAAACUUUUACCUAAUGUACUUUAUCAUGAAACUUUACGGCAUCAUCAGUUAAGAAUUUUUGGUAAUCAAGAAAUUGAGUCCAUGACACCAUUUCAUCUAGGACUAAUAAAGUGCCAGCAGUCGCGGUCACACUUUACUAGGUGUAAAACUAUUCAGAAAUACCAAAUGUUUUUAAAAUAUUAAUAGUGAAAUAUUAUUAUUAUAUAACCCCAUUCUACUUACCCUUUAUCGGCUGAAGACAAACAGGGAUUAGAUACCCCUUUAUGCAGCAUAUACUAACUUUCUGGGGACUAAAAUAUUUAAUUCAAACUCAACCAACAUGGCGGUAAUAUGUAGUUUUAGGGGAACUUACUGGAUAAAUGACAACCACCAAGAAAAUUAACAUUAAGUAAAAUUUUGUAUACCGUCGUCGAGAUAUACUAUAAUAGUAUGUCGCUACAUAAUAUAUAAGGUAAGACAGAUCAAGGUGCAGACGAUCUUAAUGUCCAAGCGAGUUACUAUAAAAGAUACUAUUCAAAAACACGUUUAAUAGUGCUUAAUGAAGGACUUAAAAGUAAUAAUUAUUAAAUAUAACUUAUGAAUAUUAUAUAUAUUGUGC